rnacentral:rRNA from 1 species
UACAGAGGGUGCGAGCGUUGUCCGGAAUCACUGGGCGUAAAGGGCGCGUAGGUGGUGGCUUAAGCGUGCGGUGAAAGCUCGGAGCUCAACUCCGAGUCGGCCGUGCGGACUGGCGGGCUCGAGCACUGUAGGGGCGGGUGGAAUUCCGGGUGUAGCGGUGGAAUGCGUAGAGAUCCGGAAGAACACCGGAGGCGAAGGCGGCUUGCUGGGCUUGCUGACGCUGAGGCGCGAAAGCGUGGGGAGCGAACAGGAUUGAGAA